CAAUUGUCUGUUUUAAUUUCAGGCUCAGGAGACAUGGACAGUAUUUCCAAAAACUCUCCCAGUAAUAUGAGCAUGAGCAACCAGCCUGGCACUCCCAGGGAUGACAGUGAGAUGGGUGGAAACUUCCUCAACCCUUUUCAGAGCGAGAGUUACUCCCCUAGCAUGACAAUGAGCGUGUGACCCGUUCACAAGUGUCGCCGUGAAGACCACAGUGAGUUGGCCCUCCCCAGAGAGCUACUGCAGAAGAAAAUUAUUCGUCCCAGUGUACAGUUUAACUAAAGGAUCUCAGACACAAUCAGACCCACCUGUUUGUUUGUUUUUCUCCUACCAUCUCCCCUGUUUUGUCAAGACAGUGGGUCCCAAACACGCUUGAGACAACUGUCAGGAGUGGCAUGAGAGAAGUGCCCGAGGUGGAGCUGCCAGCGCCUGUCUGUGUGUGUACAUGUGUGGGCCAGCGUGGGGUGUGUGUGUGUGACAUCCAAACACACACACACACACAGACCCCAGGACGCUGUCCAAUAGGAUCACAUGACAUCUUACGUAGAAAUCAGAAGUAGGGACUUUUAUUCCAUUUCUUUUUUUUUUUCACGUUUGCAUUUUAAUUAUUAAAAUUUGCUUUCCCUCUCCCAUCCUGAACUGUUUUACGUUGCAUAUAUCACUGCUUUGUAAGUUAUUUUUUAAGUUGAACUCAAAGGAUAAAUUCUUUUGAUUUUGUUAGUCUGCCAUUAUGGACAGGAAUAAAAUUGCUUAUACGAGCUUUCAUUACCUUGUGUUUGAUACCAGCUACCCUGUGAAUCACAAAUUGUACUGUCUCAAGAAAUAGAAGAAAGCUCAUCCUAAUUUUUGGAGAAAUUGAAUAACUUCCACCUAGUUUGGGGAUUUCUUUUGAUACUUUGCCUUUAAGAGAAAAAAAGCACUGAAGGUUAUUUUUCUUCUUUAAUUGAAGCCUAAUAUCUGCAAUAUCUAUUUUAAAUGGAAGCCUGAAUUUGAUACAAGCUUCUCAGUUUAUAUAGAGUACUAUAAGGUUACUGUAAGUGAGCUCCAAUUGCUAUAGAAUCUAGCAAUAAAGUGUCAGGGCUUCUCCUGCCCUUGGAUUUGAGUUUUCUAUUUAGCAUGGUCUUCUGUAGGGGUGGUAGUUAGUGGAAAUACAGUAGAGUCCUUAUCACCAAAACAUUUUCCAGCAACCUGCAAUUAUGUUUCCCAUUUUCAGUGAUUCUCAAACAUAUAUGAGCAAUCUGUGAUCCUGAUUACAAACGGUAUUUCCCAAGCCCAUUUAGAAAAUCAGGUCACCCUGCUGCUUGGGUGUGUGUUUUCUGCCAUAUCUGCCAGAAUUAAUUCCCACAAAACUUUCCAGUCAUCAGCCUUUUUUUUUUCUUUGAGCCAAAAUGCCACAGUAAACUUUUUAUGACUACUAGCCUUGUUGUGAGGGUGUUACCUUUUGCCAUGAAUAGAAAGGAGCAAAGGUCUGGAUCCUUUUAGAGGGGGAACAUACAGUUAGGUAUGAAAGCUGGGGCCAGAAUGCAGAAAAAGGCCUCAAGGAAAUGCUUCUGGAAGCAUUCCCAUUUCUCUUGAGGCAGAGCUCUGAAACCAAGAUUGUGGUACUUUUACUUAGUUCCUGAUGAUUUUCAGCUCCCCCAGGAAAACAAAGGUUUUCGGUUUGUAGUGAUACAAAAGCUGAUGAUCAGCAAUGCAGGCACAAAGUGGCUCGGCAGAAAUUUGUGCCACAGACAAACAGCAAAUUCCUCUCUUUGGACUUUAAUCCAAGGAGCCACUUGCAGAGCAGGAGCAGUUCUGGGAUGUGGUAUAUCCAUGUGCAAGGGGAUUUUCCUCAUGAGCUUGUGAUAAAGGAAUAUCACCCAUAUGUGAUGGGCUUGUGAUGGUAGCUGGAUGUGUGAGGAAUUCUACAAUCUCCUAACUAAUUUUUAUUUCCAUAUAUUAUACACAUAUGACAUAUGGAAAUAAAAAGGUUUAACAUGUUACUGUCCCGUUAGGCUUACUCAAAGAUGAAAGUCUCAGAGGAUCAAAAUUACAUUGAAGUAUCAAAGAUUUUGUUAGCGUUACUUUUUAGUAAGAACUGCUUGAUUAGAUGUAAACAUGACCUGGCUAGUCCUUAUAUGGUUUUGUAGGCUGUAUUCUUAUUGAUUAUGAAGGUCGCAUUCAUUUGCUUCUCUUUGGAAAGCACUUUGCUGCUGUCUCCAAAGAUGCUGGAAGACCCUGCUAUUGGCUCGAAUCACAAGCACAAAAUCAAGUGUAAUUUCUUCAGACCCUUUGCUGUUGUCACUAACACCACUGGUGUGUCCCCGUUGCACCCAGAGCCCAGGUGCCCCUGCAGCCUUGGUUGGCCACCUGUAUUAUCUGUGGUCGCCCUCCAGGCACCCAAGGGCUCCUUCUGGCCCAGUCUGUCCGACGGUGUCGCUGCUGCUGGGCUAAGGGAGAUGGGAGCAGUGCAUCGAGUGCCAAAGGCCAUUCCCAGGGCAGUGAGCUGUUGGGCACCUGGGAAGGAUGAAGUCUGACCUUUAAACCUGUGCGUGGAACAGCUGGCACAGAUUGAUAUCAAUAUUAAAGCAUGUUAUCCUCACUUUGAUACAGGAGCACAACGUCCUUUCAGCACACGAUGGAUUCGCUGUGUCCUGCAUUUCUCACUCCCACGCAGCCCCACGGGCAGCAGCUGGUGCCACUAAUGCUUUGUCCAGGGCUUUACCAGGCUCCAGGAGAGGCCAGGUUCUGCAGCUGAACCAUUAGAAAACAAUCCUUUGUGCUAAUUACUCAAAUUCUAAAUUACACCUUUGGAUCAUUUCUUCCUUAAUAUGCAUAGGGCUUUUUGCUUGUCCAUUUCUCUUUCCUUUGCUUACAAAUCCUUGUAGGAUUUUCAUGGUACCUGGAGUAUCAAUAUGGGAGGAAAGACUAUUCCCAAGCACUCAGUGUUUGCUCCCUCUUCUUAAAUUUUUUAUGCUCCAGAUACGAGGAGCAAUGUCACUGCUGUUUGGUUCUGUCCUUUUGCAACAGCACUGUUGAUAAUGUCACAACUUGUCCAGCUCUGCUAGGAAUUUUAUUUUAAAUGGUGCAGGGUAGAUCUUCUCACACUGGCUUUUUAGAUGGAUCUUGCUCUUCAGUAUAGAAGUAAAUAGAAGGUGAUUCUGUAAAUGGGUAUUUCAGGCAGAGUUAUAGGAAGCCUUCUUAAAACCAGAAGUGAUUACAUCUUUGAGUAGCAGAAACGGAGAGUGAGGGAUCUGUAUGCUGUGAGAACUCUUGCAAAUAUUCCAGCUUUGUAGAAAUCACCUGAAACUGCAUUCACCUGUGAACUUCACAGUGAAACCAGGGUCUUACCUGCUGCUCCAGCCUAUGGAAAGGAGUGAUAGAUGCAGAUGUAUUUCCAUGUCACCAGGAUUUUAUUGCCGUGUCUAAGAGCCGGGUUUGAGGCAAGGAAGGAGUUUAGCUGUCUGAAUCACAGGUGAAGCAUGUGGCCUGGUGUGCAUUAACAAAGUCCCUGGAUAUUUGCAUGCAGGGAUUACAUUAUUUUCUUAACUACCUGAGAAUGAGGAAAAACUGCAGUUUGGAACUUGCACUUCCAACCCCCAGGAAUUCCAUUUUUUAUUUGGAAGUCCUCUGGUUGCAGAGCCGUAGCCACCCAAUAUGUCACAUAUUCAGAGACAGAAACAACUUCCAGGCUUUCAGCCUCUUCCUCAGAGUGGAGGAUUAAAUGUUCCAUGUCCCAGGACAUCCAGCUGUUCCUUUCCCUUCCAACAGGAAUACCCAAUGAGAAAUACAUAGGCUAAUCAUUUAUUUUAAAUAAUUCCACUUGGGAAGAAGUGGAAUAGAACCUUGCUUCUUUAAGGAUGCAUCAAAGGACAGCUUCUUGACCUGCCUAAAACCAGUUGAAUUUUCCUCUGUUCUGUGGCAAUACCGCAUGUGCAAAUGAUGUGGAAUUAGAUUUAAUGAGGGACCAGCUGCUACAAUAUUUAGUGUUGAUCACUUUAUUCAAAAAUGACUUUUCAGCUGAUACAUGUCACACAGGGUCCUAUUUCUGUAUCAGUUGUUUAUUAAGUGCUCUCCCCUGUCCCCAGUCAGCUCUCAUCCACUGCUCUUGCCAUGGCUAAGUAUGGACUGGAUUCUUCAGUGUUUCACCCUACACAUUUGCAUUUCAAGAAUGUAAAAUAUACCUUAGUGAUGUAAAACGUACAGGUAAAUUUAUUUUUCUUUAAUUCACCAUAAGUGGUGAUAGAACUGUGGGUGCUGGCACAGACACACUUGGGUUUGAUCAGGCCUUAAGGAUGGGAAUACUGACAAAGCACAUCUUUCAAAUGAACCCCUAUAAACUGCUUCAACACUGGUAUCUCACAGUGAGGAUCCAGUUCAUGAUUUAGUGAUUCAAAAUAAUUCUAGAAAUUCAGAAAUAAAUUAGUUAGGUUUAAAUGUUGCUGGUUGCAGCUCUUUCUACUUUUCAGAUAGUGGCACAGUUCUGUAGACUGCUGCUUGUGCCAGUUCUGCUGAAAUGUUGAUGAAACCAUUCACAUAAGGUCAUUUUUUGGGUAGGAUUUCACCCUAGUCUGGGUCAAAUAUAUAACUUACCUGUGGUGUAACAUUAUUUGGCAGAUGUAAAAACCGAGUACAUAGAGAAAAAUACAGAGGGUCUGUUGAAAUUACCAAAAUGACGUUUCAACCUGAAAAAGGAGAAAAGACAGUUUAAAAUACUGCUUUGAGUGCACUCCUGUAUGGUGUCUAUAUAUUGGAAACAAAUUACAGUACCAAAUCUAGAAAAAAUAAAUGUCUCAUCUACUCAGCACAUGAAAAUUCUGAUCCUGCCAACAGCUUCACCUUGAUUUCAAAUUGAGCCUGCUCAUAGUUAAUUUUAACCAGAUCUAAGAACAGGUAGUAUCCUUCAGGAAAUUAAAAAAGUAGGACUGUAGUAAUGUAAACCCAUGCUUAAACAUGGACAGUCUAGAGCUCCAAUUAAGUCUUUGCUAAGCAGACAUUAUUUCACAGAUUUUACUAGUGCAGGAGCCUGUUUAUGUAUCAAUAGUACUGACAUGCGGAGCAGAUUUGGCUUUCUUCUGUUUCUUACUUUAUUAGAGCUUUGUUCACUAUUCCAUGAACUAUUUCUGUGAAUUUGUUCUUUCAUCUUGUUUUCAGUUCUGCAGCCAUAGUUUCCCUCCACACAGCCAACAGCUUUGCAGGUUUAGUCCAAACUUCUGUUUGGUUGCUGUUCAUUUAAGCUUGAAAUGUGUAAGAAAGCCUCUCAUGUAAUAGGAAAACUUGCCAUAAAAAUGUAUAAAGGUUUUCUUGGGUACAUGUUUUCGAAUUUAAUAAAUGCAGUUUUCAGUCAUAA